rnacentral:rRNA from 1 species
UGCGUAGGCGGCUUUCUAAGUUGAAUGUGAAAACUCUGGGCUUAACCCAGAGCCUGCAUUCAAUACUGGCAGACUAGAGUUCUGGAGGGGAUAGCGGAAUUCCUGGUGUAGCGGUGAAAUGCGUAGAUAUCAGGAGGAACACCGGUGGCGAAGGCGGCUAUCUGGACAGAGUCUGACGCUGAGGCGCGAAAGCUAGGGGAGCAAACA